rnacentral:tRNA from 1 species
CGAAGCGCAGCGUGGAGUUCCUUCGUUUUGGGAACGAGAGGUUGCAGGUUCGAGUCCUGUCCGGUCGG